rnacentral:rRNA from 1 species
GACGAACGCUGGCGGUGUGCUUAACACAUGCAAGUCGAGCGAUGAAGCUCCUUCGGGAGUGGAUUAGCGGCGGACGGGUGAGUAACACGUGGGUAACCUGCCUCAUAGAGGGGAAUAGCCUUUCGAAAGGAAGAUUAAUACCGCAUAAGAUUGUAGUACCGCAUGGUACAGCAAUUAAAGGAGUAAUCCGCUAUGAGAUGGACCCGCGUCGCAUUAGCUAGUUGGUGAGGUAACGGCUCACCAAGGCGACGAUGCGUAGCCGACCUGAGAGGGUGAUCGGCCACAUUGGGACUGAGACACGGCCCAGACUCCUACGGGAGGCAGCAGUGGGGAAUAUUGCACAAUGGGGGAAACCCUGAUGCAGCAACGCCGCGUGAGUGAUGACGGUCUUCGGAUUGUAAAGCUCUGUCUUUAGGGACGAUAAUGACGGUACCUAAGGAGGAAGCCACGGCUAACUACGUGCCAGCAGCCGCGGUAA